rnacentral:rRNA from 1 species
CCCUAUGGGGUGCAGCCGGCGGAAACAUUGACAAAAGCGUUGGGUUUGUAAAGAAAACCGGCGCAAAAAGCCGAAAAGAUGUAAACUGGAAUGUGUAUUUGCCGGGAUGGCCGUGUCGACCUUUCCGGCUUGGUUUACGGAAGGAGACGUGGAAUGAAAGUGGUCAUCAUUGGGGGCGUGGCGGCGGGACCGAAAACGGCGGCGCGGAUCAUGCGGCUGAAUCCGGACGCGGAUGUCACAAUUGUUGAAAAAGGGCGUUUUCUUUCGUAUGCGGGGUGUGGGCUUCCGUAUUAUGUGGGUGGUGAGGUAUCGGAGCAGAAGGAACUGUUGGCGACGCCGGCGGGGGGGGUGCGGGAUGCGGCGGUCUUUUUGAAUGUGAAGGGGGUGAAGGUGGUGGCGGGGGAGC